AUCGCUUCUAUUAACUCAGAGCUGGAGAGAAGGCAAGAUGUUGGCAUAGCUGUUGAGUUAAGAACCUGCUAUGCCGACAUGUUGUCAUCUUUCUUGUCUAUCAGCAGCCAUGGCCAGCU
rnacentral:pre_miRNA from 13 species